rnacentral:pre_miRNA from 1 species
CCUGUGUGUGGAUGGUGUUUAGUACCAAGAACAGGUAUAUUUACCUGUGUGUGGAUGGUGUUCAGCAACAAAGACAGAAGUGUUUACCU